ACAUUUAAGAUUAAGCUAACCAAGUAACAGUGAACCACAUAGUCACACAUUUUAAAAACAUAACCAUCCAACCAGCAUCACAUUUUUAUCAUGCAAAUUAAUAAAAGAAAUGCAUACACACUGAUUUUCUCUUGCGGGUUAUUUGAAAAAGUUCAGGUUCAGUAACCAUUAUCACUUAAAUUGUUACUACCAGUCUCCUUUAAUAAUGUGAACAAUUCAGCCCUGUGAUAAAUGGAUUCCCAGCUACAGGUAGUGUGUUUAUAUGCUUUUCUUGUGGUUAAAGAAAAUAAGUAAUUAUUUAUAUCAAAUCUGUCCUUCAGAAAAUUAACGAAAAGCCUCAAGUCAUCGCGGACUAUGAGUGUGGGAGAGCAAUUCCCAAUAACCAGGUCAUGGGCAAGAUAGAGCGAGUAAUUGGGUUGAAACUGCGUGGGAAGGAUAUUGGCCAACCCCUAGAGGCAAAAUCCAAGAAGAAAUGAACACAAAGCCUCGAAAUCAGCCCCACCCAACCCCAUCCCACCUCUGAGAACCCUCUAAAACUCUCAUCCGCUCUCCCCCAAUCCCUUCCUCUACCUGGGCUGAUCUCACCUGUGUCCUGCCUGAGGACCUGGUGCUCCACCGCAUUACAAGCUGCAUACUGACAAGUCAUCAGAAAAACACUUUCCCGACCACAUUAUCAAAUGAAUGAUCGAAUGCAUUUUUCAACAUUGCAAACUCAAAGUUCUGUGUAUUUUCUUUCUUCGCUGCACCUACAUACGCUUAGCCUUUGGCAUGAUAAAUUCAACUUUUUGAUAGUGACAUAAAAUAAUUUAAAAUGAGAUUUAGUUUUCAUGGCCAAACAAACUUUAAUGUUCUGAGCAUGAUCUUAAGCCGAAAGUGCUUGAUUGCAUCUUAUUUUUUUUUUUUUUUCCCUCUCUACACACUUAAGACAGUGGGUGAUUGUCAUUACAGUGUUGAAAUGUUUUAAUGCUGUGCUUUGUUUCGAUCUAAAAAUAAAGUUUGGCAGUUCA